UGAGAAAUUGAUGAGUUACAAGUGGUGGAGCCUGCGUGAGAGAGAGAGAGAGAGAGAGAGAGAAAAAGAGAGAUGAGUCACAAGGGGUGGAGUCUGAGAAAGAGAGAGAGAAAGAUGAGUUACAAGGAGUGGAGUCUGACAAAGGAUGAGUUACAAGGGGUGGAGCCUGUGAGAGAGAGAGAGAGAGAUGAAUGAGUCACAAGGGGUGGAGUCUGAGAGAGAAGGAGAGAGAAAAAGAUGAGUUACAAGGGGAGGAGCCUGUGAGAGAGAGAGAGAGA